CCCCAAUGAAGAUUAGCAUGGCUCCUGCACAWGAAUGAUGUGCAAAUUUAUGAAGAGUUCCAUAUUAUU
rnacentral:snRNA from 1 species